AACAGGAAAAAGGAUAUCUCGACCGAUUGAAGGAGAAAGCAAAUAGUUGGUUCAAUUGAGCAUCUCUUGUUUAAUUUCUUUUCUUUUAAUUUGUUUGUUU
rnacentral:ribozyme from 1 species